AAACCGGGGCUAAUACCGGAUGCUUGUUUGAACCGCAUGGUUCAAACAUAAAAGGUGGCUUCGGCUACCACUUACAGAUGGACCCGCGGCGCAUUAGCUAGUUGGUGAGGUAAUGGCUCACCAAGGCAACGAUGCGUAGCCGACCUGAGAGGGUGAUCGGCCACACUGGGACUGAGACACGGCCCAGACUCCUACGGGAGGCAGCAGUAGGGAAUCUUCCGCAAUGGACGAAAGUCUGACG
rnacentral:rRNA from 1 species